UAAGCCGUUGAAGGUGUGUCGUGAGGCAUGCUGGAGGUAUCAGAAGUGCGAAUGCUGACAUAAGUAACGAUAAAGCGGGUGAAAAGCCCGCUCGCCGGAAGACCAAGGGUUCCUGUCCAACGUUAAUCGGGGCAGGGUGAGUCGACCCCUAAGGCGAGGCCGAAAGGCGUAGUCGAUGGGAAACGGGUUAAUAUUCCCGUACUUGGUGUUACUGCGAAGGGGGGACGGAGAAGGCUAUGUUGGCCGGGCGACGGUUGUCCCGGUUUAAGCGUGUAGGUGUGUGUUCCAGGUAAAUCCGGUUCACUUUAACACUGAGGCGUGAUGACGAGGCACUACGGUGCUGAAGCAACAAAUGCCCUGCUUCCAGGAAAAGCCUCUAAGCCUCAGGUAACAUCAAAUCGUACCCCAAACCGACACAGGUGGUCAGGUAGAGAAUACCAAGGCGCUUGAGAGAACUCGGGUGAAGGAACUAGGCAAAAUGGUGCCGUAACUUCGGGAGAAGGCACGCUGACACGUAGGUGAAGUGGUUUACCCAUGGAGCUGAAGUCAGUCGAAGAUACCAGCUGGCUGCAACUGUUUAUUAAAAACACAGCACUGUGCAAACACGAAAGUGGACGUAUACGGUGUGACGCCUGCCCGGUGCCGGAAGGUUAAUUGAUGGGGUCAGCGCAAGCGAAGCUCCUGAUCGAAGCCCCGGUAAACGGCGGCCGUAACUAUAACGGUCCUAAGGUAGCGAAAUUCCUUGUCGGGUAAGUUCCGACCUGCACGAAUGGCGUAAUGAUGGCCAGGCUGUCUCCACCCGGGACUCAGUGAAAUUGAACUCGCUGUGAAGAUGCAGUGUACCCGCGGCAAGACGGAAAGACCCCGUGAACCUUUACUAUAGCUUGACACUGAACACUGGUCCUUGAUGUGCAGGAUAGGUGGGAGGCUUUGAAGUGUGGACGCCAGUCUGCAUGGAGCCAUCCUUGAAAUACCACCCUUUAAUGGCUGGUGUUCUAACGUGGGCCCGUGAACCGGGUUGCGGACAGUGUCUGGUGGGUAGUUUGACUGGGGCGGUCUCCUCCUAAAGAGUAACGGAGGAGCACGAAGGUUGGCUAAUCCUGGUCGGACAUCAGGAGGUUAGUGCAAUGGCAUAAGCCAGCUUGACUGCGAGCGUGACGGCGCGAGCAGGUGCGAAAGCAGGUCAUAGUGAUCCGGUGGUUCUGAAUGGAAGGGCCAUCGCUCAACGGAUAAAAGGUACUCCGGGGAUAACAGGCUGAUACCGCCCAAGAGUUCAUAUCGACGGCGGUGUUUGGCACCUCGAUGUCGGCUCAUCACAUCCUGGGGCUGAAGUAGGUCCCAAGGGUAUGGCUGUUCGCCAUUUAAAGUGGUACGCGAGCUGGGUUUAGAACGUCGUGAGACAGUUCGGUCCCUAUCUGCCGUGGGCGCUGGAAGAUUGAGGGGGGCUGCUCCUAGUACGAGAGGACCGGAGUGGACGCAUCACUGGUGUUCGGGUUGUCAUGCCAAUGGCACUGCCCGGUAGCUACAUGCGGAAGAGAUAAGUGCUGAAAGCAUCUAAGCACGAAACUUGCCCCGAGAUGAAUCUUCCCUGAGCCUUUAAGGCUCCUGAAGGAACGUUGAAGACGACGACGUUGAUAGGCCGGGUGUGUAAGCGCAGCGAUGCGUUGAGCUAACCGGUACUAAUGAACCGUGAGGCUUAACCUU
rnacentral:rRNA from 1 species